rnacentral:lncRNA from 1 species
GGAGGAGCCGGCCGGCGAGGCCGCGGCGGCGGCGGCCCUCGUGCCCGGGAGCGCCGAGGUGAAACCGUGCGCCGCGCCCGAGCGGGUCGUGGACCCCAGCGACAUCAGCCCCAGCGCCCUGCACGCCGCCGUGAGGGACUCCCAGCUGAACAUCGUCCAGGUGGAGGACGACGUCCCCGGGCUGGGCGCCUCCUGCCUCUACCUGGUCCCCUCCGCGCCGGGGGAGGGGGAGCAGGAGGAGGUGGGGGCCCCUCUCCGCGGUCGGGAGGCCGGGGCGGGGCCGGCCGAGGCCGAGGAGCCCGGGAAGAGAGAGCCCAAGGAAAACGGGCUCGUGCGGAUUUACACGGGCGUGUGCGAGCAGCUCAUGGCCCUGAACGAGGGGGACGGGAAUCUGGACCCCGGCCGGCACGCUCAGCGGGAAGCCGGACGGAACCCGCGCUGCCCGCCGGCCUGCGCCCCCGCUGAAUCGCUGUCCUGUCGGAGCGCUCGGCCUGGACGCAGCGCGGCAGAGCUCGGGCCCGGCGCGGAUCUCGCCGCGGGGGAGAGCAUCGCGCCUGUCAAGCGAGCCCGGGAGGAGGCCCUCGCCCGCAGCGCGCAGGGGCCGGGCCCCGUCAUCAAGAGGGUCUUCGACCAGGAGUGGUGCAGCUCCCUGUGGAGCUCCGCCGAGCCGGCCUGCGAGAGCAGCAGGGUCCCCCGACCGGACCGCCGGGACGCUGCCCACGCCGGGGCAGGGGUCUCCGAGCUGCGGGGGGCCGCGGUGAAGCAGGAGGUCGAUGAGCGGAGGGGGUUUCCCACGGCGGCGCCGGGCUCCCACCUGAGCUUGGUCCAGGUUAAAGACGAGCGCCCUGACCUGGGCACUGCCCCUCUUUACUCUGCCCGUGCCCACCCUGCGCCAGGAGAGCGCCGGUCUCUCCGUGUGAUGGAGGAUGUGUCCGGGCUGGCAGGGGGGCCCAUCAAGAGGGAGGCGGUUGAGGAGGAGCUGGUGCAGGUGUGUAUGAACGCGGAGGACAGCAGGCCGGAUUCCAGGCCUCAAGCGGAAAGGACGCCCCAGUGCGCGAGGAUGCCCGCCAGCGACCGCAGGACCCCCGGAGGCGCCCGUGUGGCCUUCGAGCGGGCGUCUGAGUCGGUGCCCGCCCAGAUCAAGCCCUUCCUGCGCAGGGUGAGGUACACGGUGUACCACGGGCCCGGGGCGGAGACCGGGUGCAAGGAGGAGCUGGACAGGGAGGAGGGACAGGGGGAGCCCACCGUCGUCGUCGUGUGUAAGUGUCGCCGCCUCACUGCUUCCUUCAGCUUCCAGCUGGAGAGAGAGUUAGGAGCACCCAGGGCAGAGGUGAAUGCAGAAUACUUUCGGGUGGCAGGAGGGUAGAACAAGCUGCUCAGCCAUGUUGUUGAAGCCGAUACCCUGGCUUCUCUCCAGACACAGCUGGGUGAGACCCUCCAGUCAGGACAGGAGGCUCUUCUUUACACAAAGGGGGGGUUGGGGUGUGGGACAAGCUGCCUAGCUGUAUUGUUGAAGCCGAUACCCUGGCUGCUCUCCAGACACAGCUGGGUGAGACCCUCCAGUCAGGACAGGAGGCUCUUCUUUACACAAAGGGGGGGUUGGGGUGUGGGACAAGCUGCCUAGCUGUAUUGUUGAAGCCGAUACCCUGGCUGCUCUCCAGACACAGCUGGGUGAGCUCCUCCAGUCAGCACAGGAGGCUCUUCUUUACACAGAGGGUGGUGGGAGUGUGGAACAAGCUGUUGUUGACACCUGUACUCUGGUUUCUCUCCAGAAACUGCGGGAUGAGAUGUCAAAAGGCGCAGAAAAAUAACUAUUUUGUUUACGUGCAUCAGUGCUUCUCAAACUGCAGGCCUUGGAAAUGCUUUUGUGGUUGCCCAGCUGUUGUCUAAGCUAUAGAUUAAGGAAACGGCCUUGAGAUAAUGACUGGAAUGUGUUGGCUCAAGGUCUCAGGCUCUGUGGAAGUGAGGCAUGAGUUGACUUUGUAAAAGCUGCAGUACUGGGAGUCCGUUCAUAACGAGGUCGUUAAGAGAAGGCCUGUUCCACUCUGAAACAAACCUGCCUGCGUCUUGCUGUGCAGUAUCACAGAGCCAGAAAGCCCCAGCAGGUUUUGUCCAGUCUGUCCUGCAGGGCAGUCUCAAUGCCAUGCUGCUGUUUGUACAGAGCUCGGUAAAAGCAGAAUCUGCAGGAAGCCGUCUCCUGCUCAGCUACUGAAGAAUUUCCCACAGGAAUAGCUCUCAGGCUCUGGAUUGAUCCUUGUUUAAUCAGCUCAGGUGAGGCAGGUAGCCUUGUUGUGACAGAAGAGUUCUUGCUCCGGGAUGAGAGUGAAAACAGAUAGGCUUUAUUAUGUGCCUACAAGGACCGCCUCCAACGGUAGGGGUGUUCAGAGAAUACAAAGCACGCAGCUACCUUUAGACAGCCCAGUAACGUCAAGAUUUCCAUGGCUACAAGGAAUUUGUCAGGGUGUAUGGUUAAGAUCGUGUUCAGAACAAUUGGCCAUUAAGAGAAGUUGUGGUUAUCUGUCUGCCCAGAAUUCCAGAGGUCAUGAUGCUUGCCCUCCCUUACAGCCUUGAAAUACGCUGAAGUUUCAAAGAUAAUCACAAUUCCCGAACACAGACCUGAGCCAUGUAGAUAUACCCCAAUCAUCAGGAUUAUAGCUGUGGCACUUUUGGCCCUCGUCAUAAAUAUGUUGGCCUCAAUCAGUGAUAUGUUCAGAAGUGUCAGGAGCAUAGGUGCAGCUUUCAGCACCUAUUACAGCACCCUGUGCAGCCAGCAAGUAAUCAAGAGCCACCCAGUUUUGCAUAGCAACCGUUCGGAGAGCUACCAUUUCAUCGUUUAUAGCUUUUGUCCCCUCAGAGGUUUCCUCGGCUAAUUUUUCUCAGCAAGCAGCCAUGUUAAUACAUCCCCGAGCAAGCGUAGCUAUCCCAUACAUGGGGAAAGAGAUGGCACGGGAUCGCUCGGUCUCCGUAAUCUCCCGUUUAAUUAGCAGCACCUAUACCCAUAGAACAGAACAACACAUUCUCACUUUUUCGGCCAGGUCACAGUAUUAUUACACUGAACUGUAUCUUAGAAUACUGCUUCUUCCCUUUCGGACAAAACAUUUAUCACCUUAACAGCGGAUUAUCAGCCUAAUAGAGGGUGGCCUUGAACUGUGAUUGUAGUUCUGGUUUUCUGGAGUCUUUCUGGAGAAGUGUUGUGUGAGACCCCAGGACAAGUAAGGCACUAGCAGCCAAACAAGCUUGCAUAGGCCAAAGGGCCUCUCCUUCCUCACCUUUGUGUGUUUGUUAAUUGUGUUUGUUUUGGGCUUUUUUUUUUAUUUUCCACAGUGCAAACAGGCGCCCAGGCACCUUGCAGAACGGGGUCCGGCAGCUGGCCUGUCCGUCAGAUGAGAACCCCCAGAAUGAGACCGUUGGCGCCCCUGAACACACCCCAGGUCAUUUUUUCUGCUUUUUCAGCCUUUCUGCUGGUUAUAGUCUAGUGCAGCGGUUCUCAAACUUUUUGGACCAAGUGCCACCCCUGAUCAAACCAAGUGCCACCUCCAGGUCAUCUUCUCAUAGGAACCCCAGAAAAUCUCAAUGACCAAACAUGACUCACGGACGCCUAUAAUACCAAAUUUCACCGAGCACUUAGUUCAUUUGGAUUGGAACAGCCUGUAGCUUUUUUCUGACGCUUUCUAACACUAGCAGUGCUGUCUGUGUCAGGCUCAGUGUCGGAGCUAGUGUCGGCGGUCGUCGGGAUUAACAUACACACAUUUCCUACCCUCAAACACAGUGCCAAAGCGAAAGUGUAAAUUCACAGCGGAACUAAAAAAAUCAGUUUCCGUGUUUUUCGAAGUGGCAGAGCAGACUGGGAAGCUGAGUGUUUGAUGUGCAAGCCUGCUACGUUUGUCUCCGUGGCAGAUAAAGGAGUAGUUGACUUGCAAGCUCUUGUUGACUCGGACAAACACAAAAAGGCCAUUCGGGGAGAGGAGUUCGUCAACCAAAUGAACAGAUUCUUUUGUCAAAUCUGGCAGCAAAAGAGUGGAUGCUGUUAUUGCAGCAGAGCGGGCUUAUGCAUUUCACACAGUUAAAUCUCAUCACAGUUACUUUACCAAUGAACAUGAAACGUGGGGUAUUUUGAAAACCCUCUCCAUCCCCAUCCCCUUUCCCAGACAAGGCAACAGGACAGUUCCUCAGGGUGUCCUCUUGUCUUGAUGUGGCCGAUGUAUAAUCCUGCUGGUGCUCAGCGGGUGUGCGUGAUCUGUCUGAGCCGGCGUCCGUACUCUUGGCGUCUGUUCCUUUCAGCCAGGACAUAGUACUUGAUUUUUGCGAGGUGUUCAAUUUCGAUCACUUGUUCAGUGGCGAGCGUGGCGCUCAGCUGCGUCUCUGGAAGCUCGAGAGGAGUCUGCACACUCGAGUAUUAGCGCGCGCUGUAUCGACGUAGCACAGUACGUGCGCUGCGUAUUUGACACACAAACGCAUUUUUGCCCCCGUCUCAAGCUUUCUGAAACCGAUUAAGUCAAUUCCUGAUGAAAACUUGAAAUCAUUUCAGCCAAUUUUUAAUUUAAAAAAAAAAUUUUUUCAGUGCACACAACAAAUUUCCAGAGUCGUCUGGCGUACCACCUGGGGGGUGCUCCGUGUACCACAGUUUGAGAACCACUGGUCCAGUGCUCACAACCCAGUUCUCUCACCCCCUCCCUGUGGCAGACAUUCCAGUUCCGUCACAGGAUGAACCGAGGGGCUGUGGUCCGUCUGUCCCGGGACCCUGCAGCUCCUGAGGGGGCCUCUGGCCCCGGGACCCUGCAGCUCCUGAGGGG